rnacentral:rRNA from 1 species
GAUGAACGCUGGCGGCGUGCCUAAUACAUGCAAGUCGAGCGAACGGACGAGAAGCUUGCUUCUCUGAUGUUAGCGGCGGGCGGGUGAGUAACACGUGGAUAACCUACCUAUAAGACUGGGAUAACUUCGGGAAACCGGAGCUAAUACCGGAUAAUAUUUUGAACCGCAUGGUUCAGAAGUGAAAGACGGUCUUGCUGUCACUUAUAGAUGGAUCCGCGCUGCAUUAGCUAGUUGGUAAGGUAACGGCUUACCAAGGCAACGAUGCAUAGCCGACCUGAGAGGGUGAUCGGCCACACUGGAACUGAGACACGGUCCAGACUCCUACGGGAGGCAGCAGUAGGGAAUCUUCCGCAAUGGGCGAAAGCCUGACGGAGCAACGCCGCGUGAGUGAUGAAGGUCUUCGGAUCGUAAAACUCUGUUAUUAGGGAAGAACAUAUGUGUAAGUAACUGUGCACAUCUUGACGGUACCUAAUCAGAAAGCCACGGCUAACUACGUG